AUUAUACCGCGAAACUGCGAAUGGCUCAUUAAAUCAGUUAUCGUUUAUUUGAUAGUACCUUACUACUUGGAUAACCGUGGUAAUUCUAGAGCUAAUACAUGCUAAAAACCCCGACUCACGAAGGGGUGUAUUUAUUAGAUUAAAAACCAAUGCCCUUCGGGGCUCUUUGGUGAUUCAUAAUAACUUCUCGAAUCGCAUGGCCUUGCGCCGGCGAUGGUUCAUUCAAAUUUCUGCCCUAUCAACUUUCGAUGGCAGGGUCUUGGCCUGCCAUGGUUACAACGGGUAACGGAGGGUUAGGGCUCGACCCCGGAGAAGGAGCCUGAGAAACGGCUACUACAUCCAAGGAAGGCAGCAGGCGCGCAAAUUACCCAAUCCCGAUUCGGGGAGGUAGUGACAAUAAAUACUGAUACAGGGCUCUUUUGGGUCUUGUAAUUGGAAUGAGUACAAUUUAAAUCCCUUAACGAGGAACAAUUGGAGGGCAAGUCUGGUGCCAGCAGCCGCGGUAAUUCCAGCUCCAAUAGCGUAUAUUAAAGUUGUUGCAGUUAAAAAGCUCGUAGUUGAACCUUGGGCCUGGCUGGCCGGUCCGCCUCACCGCGUGCACUGGUUCGGCCGGGCCUUUCCCUCUGGGGAGCCGCAUGCUCUUUAUUGAGUGUGUCGGGGAACCAGGACUUUUACUGUGAAAAAAUUAGAGUGUUCAAAGCAGGCCUAUGCUCGAAUACAUUAGCAUGGAAUAAUAGAAUAGGACGUGUGGUUCUAUUUUGUUGGUUUCUAGGACCGCCGUAAUGAUUAAUAGGGACAGUCGGGGGCAUCAGUAUUCAAUUGUCAGAGGUGAAAUUCUUGGAUUUAUUGAAGACUAACUACUGCGAAAGCAUUUGCCAAGGAUGUUUUCAUUAAUCAGGAACGAAAGUUAGGGGAUCGAAGACGAUCAGAUACCGUCGUAGUCUUAACCAUAAACUAUGCCGACUAGGGAUCGGACGAUGUUAUUAUUUGACUCGUUCGGCACCUUACGAGAAAUCAAAGUCUUUGG
rnacentral:rRNA from 1 species